GAGUCGAACGGCAGCACGGGAGCAAUCCUGGUGGCGAGUGGCGAACGGGUGAGUAAUAUAUCGGAACGUGCCCAGUCGUGGGGGAUAACGCAGCGAAAGCUGUGCUAAUACCGCAUACGAUCUAUGGAUGAAAGCGGGGGAUCGCAAGACCUCGCGCGAUUGGAGCGGCCGAUAUCAGAUUAGGUAGUUGGUGGGGUAAAGGCCCACCAAGCCGACGAUCUGUAGCUGGUCUGAGAGGACGACCAGCCACACUGGAACUGAGACACGGUCCAGACUCCUACGGGAGGCAGCAGUGGGGAAUUUUGGACAAUGGGUGCAAGCCUGAUCCAGCAAUGCCGCGUGCAGGAUGAAGGCCUUCGGGUUGUAAACUGCUUUUGUACGGAACGAAACGGUCUGCUCUAUACAGUGGGCUAAUGACGGUACCGUAAGAAUAAGCACCGGCUAACUACGUGCCAGCAGCCGCGGUAAUACGUAGGGUGCGAGCGUUAAUCGGAAUUACUGGGCGUAAAGCGUGCGCAGGCGGUUAUAUAAGACAGAUGUGAAAUCCCCGGGCUCAACCUGGGACCUGCAUUUGUGACUGUAUAGCUAGAGUACGGCAGAGGGGGAUGGAAUUCCGCGUGUAGCAGUGAAAUGCGUAGAUAUGCGGAGGAACACCGAUGGCGAAGGCAAUCCCCUGGGCCUGUACUGACGCUCAUGCACGAAAGCGUGGGGAGCAAACAGGAUUAGAUACCCUGGUAGUCCACGCCCUAAACGAUGCGAACUAUGUGUUGGGGAAGGAGACUUUCUUUAGUACCGUAAGCUAACGCGUGAAGUUCGCCGCCUGGGGAG
rnacentral:rRNA from 1 species